rnacentral:rRNA from 1 species
CCUACGGGAGGCAGCAGUGGGGAAUAUUGCGCAAUGGGCGAAAGCCGGACGCAGCGACGCCGCGUGAGGGAUGAAGGUCUUCGGAUCGUAAACCUCUGUCAGCAGGGAAGAACGGUCACUGGGCUAAUCAGCAGUGAAUUGACGGUACCUGCAAAGGAAGCACCGGCUAACUCCGUGCCAGCAGCCGCGGUAAUACGGAGGGGGCGCGCGUUCAUCGGAAUUACUGGGCGUAAAGCGCUCGUAGGCGGUAUGUCAAGUCAAGGGUGAAAUCCCCGCGCGCAACGUGGGAACUGCCUUUGAAACUGUCAACCUGGAGUGUGUGCGAGGCUAG